AUUGAACGCUGGCGGCAGGCUUAACACAUGCAAGUCGAGCGGGGUGAUGAUGCUUGCACUAUCACUUAGCGGCGGACGGGUGAGUAAUGCUUAGGAAUCUGCCUAUUAGUGGGGGACAACAUCUCGAAAGGGAUGCUAAUACCGCAUACGUCCUACGGGAGAAAGCAGGGGAUCACUUGUGACGCUGCGCUAAUAGAGGAGCCUAAGUCGGAUUAGCUAGUUGGUGGGGUAAAGGCCUACCAAGGCGACGAUCUGUAGCGGGUCUGAGAGGAUGAUCCGCCACACUGGGACUGAGACACGGCCCAGACUCCUACGGGAGGCAGCAGUGGGGAAUAUUGGACAAUGGGGGGAACCCUGAUCCAGCCAUGCCGCGUGUGUGAAGAAGGCCUUAUGGUUGUAAAGCACUUUAAGCGAGGAGGAGGCUCUUUUGGUUAAUACCCAAGAUGAGUGGACGUUACUCGCAGAAUAAGCACCGGCUAACUCUGUGCCAGCCGCCGCCGUAA
rnacentral:rRNA from 1 species